rnacentral:lncRNA from 1 species
GUGAUUGGAAGGAAAGGGGUGUUUGGAUAUCAAAUUGGUGCAAGACCCAUUGCUAAGCCCAUAUGCUAUGUUUAUUUGAGUUCAGAAGGAGUAGGGGAGGUGAGUAAGAAAAACCUGGGUGUAGGGAGCAAAAACUCCUUGGGCUUAUAGUUUUGAAGCCCAACGUGAAUGAGGGGAAAGGGUGGAGAAACCUCAGAUUUCAAUUCAUUUCAUUUUUCCUCCAUCAAAUACGCUCACCCCCUCUCUUAUACUCCUCUUCGCCAGAAAUUGCUCCGCCGCGCCGGAGGCGGUGGAGCUACCCUGAAAAACCUCAAACCAUCAUCAAUAAACUCAGCUUUUUCUCCUCUUUCUACUUCUCAACCUUGAUUUUAUUGAUAUCUGCCCUAGCCUCUCAAUUCGAACCUAAACCUCAAGAACCCAAAAACUCUGAACUAAAAUUAAAUGAUAUUGGAACCUGUACUUAGGUCAAGUCCAUAAGGCUUCUAUUUUUCAAUUCAAGAGCUGAAGAGUGGUAAAUAGAUUAAAGCCAGGCAAUGAAGAAUCAAAUGUGAUGUGCUUACCUACAAAGCAGAGGUAUGCUCUGGGAUAUGUUGGAGCGGUUGAAGAAGAAGAUGCAGAGAAAAAACCAGAGGAUGCACCAACAACGAAAUGCUUCAAACUUUAAUUCUUACUAUUCUCGUUCCUUCUUCUUCUUCCAAAAUUAGUCUGUAGGAACUAUGUGUUGUUGUUGCUGUUGAGUGAGGAGAGUAUAGAGAUGUAGAGGCUUAGCUCAGUUGAAGCAAAACUUCAAUGUGAAGUUUUGCUCAACAAUGGAGGAUAUUGAGAUUUGAGUGUGUUGGUGAGAUAAGAGGAGAAAGUGAAACUGUAGAGUGAUGAUGAUAUGAGAGUGAAUGUGACUGUUUUCCUUGAUUGAAGAUGAAUUGUUGUUUAUAUAGUGGGAUUCGAAAUUGAAAUGGAGGGAAGUUCAUAACUAUUUUGGUCAGUUGUUAAAUUCAGUUAAUGUUAGCUUGCAAGUUAGUUAGGGUUAGCUAACAAUGUUAGUUGAUGUUAAUUGAGUUAGUUGUUUUUGAAUUAGUCAGUUUGGAAGUUAAGCUCGAGUUAGUUUAUGUGUUAGACUUCAACUGAACUGUUAGAUGGUGUUAGGAAAAAUCAGUUAGGUUAAUGUUCAUCAGAAGUUAGUAUUUUGAAUUGUUAAUGAAAAUUAGGUGGUUAGUUAAUGGUUUGAACAAUUUUGUUAGUUUUGGGAUUGGUUAGUUUAGUUAGUUGAUCAAUUAAUGACUAGUUGAUGUUUAAAUAUGUUGGUUAGAUCAUUGGAAUUAUUAUGUUAGUUGGUUAGAAUGUUGAACUGUGAUAUUGAUCAAGUCAGUUUAGAGAAAAUGUUAGUUAUUAAUGUUAAUGUUAGCAGGCUGCUAGUGAAUUACAAUUGGAUAUUUGAACUGCUAUGUCAUGAAAACUUGUUAAUCAGGUUAUUGUAAUUAGCUUGACUGUUAGUGAUAUGCAAUGGAAAGAGUUAGGGUUAUGUUAAUUUCCAUUUGAUAGUUAGAAAAAAGUUAGGUUAGUUAUGUUGAACUGUUAGUGACAAUUAGUGAAUUAGUUUAGAAAAAUGUUAGUGGAUUUUGAAAUCAGUUAGUGAGUCAAUGUGGCAUUAGUUAAUUGUGUUGAUUGAAUUAGUAGGAGUUAGUUAUGUUAGUUGAACUGAACUGUUGGAUUUUAACUUGACAAAACUAUUAGGUUAAAACUAUUAGGAUAUCACUUGUUGAUUGAUUAGUAUCAGAAGUUAGAGGAUUUGGCCAUUAAUUGAAUGAUUAGCUAGCUGAAUUGGUUAAUGUUAAUCAUCUAAAAGAGCUACUUACAAUUAUAUGAUAAAAUUGGUGAGUAAUGUUGUGUUAGAUAUGGAUAUGAUAAGGUCAAAACUUUGAUGUAUGCCAUUGGACUUGUUUGGAUGUAUGAAUAUUGUAUGGUUGGUUAUACAUUGAUGUGUAUAUUGAUAAUGUGUAUGAGAAAUGGUGAUUGGACUGUCAUGGUGUGUUUAUUGAAUUGUAUUAUGGCAUGGCGUGUUUGAUUGUGUAUAUGGCAUGUAUGGCUAUGGAGUAUCAUUGAAUGCAACUGAUGUUUGUUUACACAUUGCAAGGUUUUGGAUUUGGUGUAGCAUGGUGAAAAAAGAGAAUUCAUGGCAUGGCAAUGAAGAUUUUGGUACAAGUUUUGAACAUGAAGAUAGCAUGGAGGUGUAUCAUGAUAGGAAAUGAAGAAAGCUUGGAGAUCAAAGUGGUAAUAGGUCUAGGGUUAAGUUUACUUUGGUCAUUUGUUUGACCAAAAAGUCAACAGUUGACCAAAAGUCAACCUUAGGUCAAAAUGUGAUUUUUUUGUAUAAUUUAUAUUUUGGCUUUUUAUAAUGAAAUUUGAUGUUGUAAUUGAAUAUUGGCCCUUUGAAUGUGAUUUGUAACUUCUCUCACAGGCUAUGCACUUCCCCUCUAAUUGAUAAAUUUUGAAAUUUGCAAUCCUUGAAUCUUAUUCUCA